rnacentral:rRNA from 1 species
UACAGAGGUCCCGAGCGUUUGUUCGGAUUCAUUGGGCGUAAAGGGUGCGUAGGCGGGUCUUUAAGUCAGGGGUGAAAUCCUGGAGCUCAACUCCAGAACUGCCUUUGAUACUGAGGAUCUUGAGUACGGGAGAGGUGAGUGGAACUGCGAGUGUAGAGGUGAAAUUCGUAGAUAUUCGCAAGAACACCAGUGGCGAAGGCGGCUCACUGGCCCGUUACUGACGCUGAGGCACGAAAGCGUGGGGAGCAAACAGGA